rnacentral:rRNA from 1 species
AUUGAACGCUGGCGGCAGGCCUAACACAUGCAAGUCGAACGAGUGGCGGACGGGUGAGUAAUGUCUGGGAAACUGCCUGAUGGAGGGGGAUAACUACUGGAAACGGUAGCUCAUACCGCAUACCAUCAGAUGUGCCCAGAUGGGAUUAGCUUGUUGGUGGGGUAACGGUUAACCAAUGCGACGAUCCCUAGCUGGUCUGAGAGGAUGACCAGCCACACUGGAACUGGUACACGGUCCAGACUCAUACGGGAGGCAGCAGUGGGGAAGAUUGCAUGAUGGGCGCAAGCCUGAUGCAGCCAUGCCGCGUGUAUGACGCAGGCCUUCGGGGUGUAAAGUACUUUCAGCGGGGAGGCGUUACCCGCAGAAGAAGCACCGGCUAACUCCGUGCCAGCAGCCGCGGUAAGUC